rnacentral:rRNA from 1 species
GUCCACGCCGUAAACGUUGGGCACUAGGUGUGGGAGGUAUUGACCCCUUCCGUGCCGCAGCUAACGCGAUAAGUGCCCCGCCUGGGGGAGUACGGCCGCAAGGCUAAAAACUCAAAGGAAUUGACGGGGGCCCGCACAAGCAGCGGAGCGUGUGGUUCAAUUCGAUGCAACGCGAAGAACCUUACCAGGGUUUGACAUGCUGGUGGUACUGAUCCGAAAGGUGAGGGACCCUUCGGGGAGCCAGCACAGGUGUUGCAUGGCUGUCGU